CGCGCGGACGAGCUCGCCAUCGCCAGGCGGAGUGCCGGCGAGGGCGUCGACCGCCGCAAGGAGCAGAUGCAGGCGCAGAUCGAGCAGGUGCUGCAACUCUCCAGAGCCCUCGCCGCCGCGCACCCACAAGUGCAGGUACUUGUGUGGUGAGAAGCAACCUCCGGCUGAUCAUCCAGGUCGUGGUGCCCCCUCACCCCGUGCAUUUGGCGAAUGUUUGGGAACUCUUUUGUAAAUUGGUUAAUCAGCAUUGUAUUGUACCACUUCCUGGUUGCCGUAUCAAAUAUUAUACCAUUGCACUAUUUAGUUACUUUUCAAAGUUGUGAUAAAUAUAGUUCUUUUUUACUUUCAAGUCUUCCAUUUUUCUCAUCUACGCUGUGUGUCUAUAUAUAGCAGCACAGUUUUAGUUGCUCCGUAGGUUAUCAGUAGAACUCAACUAGCCAAUUAACAAGUGAACUCUAUGCAUUUGCUGAAUCCAUAUUUAGAAAGUUCACUUACCCUGCUACUAUAACAAACUGCUGGUGGUGGCUCUUUCACAGGCAGUACAUGCAUCAUCAGUCCUAUAUAGCUGCUGCUCAUGUACUCAUUUUGUUCUAGGAAAGUGGGAGGGCAGGGGCCCUUGAUUUUCUUGCAUAAUUUGAGCAAAUUUGAUUUUUAUUCUCUGAAGUUGAUUCUCAUGUGUGGUCAUACCAACAACACAUGCUUAAGACAUCAGUGGCUGGACUGUAGAUGUUUGAACCAGGAAACAAAUUGUGGGGAAAUGGUCCAUUUAUCCUUUAUUGCUUUGUGUUUUAUCUUCUAGAAUUAGUGUACUUUACUUAUAUGUUUAUAUGUUGAAUGACAGAAGCUCAAGGUGAAGAAGGCCAUCGAGAAGGGCAACGCCGACGGCGCCCAGAUCUAUGCGGAGAACACCAUCCGCAAGCGCACCGAGCACAUGAACUACCUCUGCCUCGCCUCCCGCCUCGCCCCAUAUGCCCAUGAGUGAUAUAUACUACUUGCCUACUGCUGUAUCAUAUUGCUUACUUUUUUACAUCAGAUCAACUAUGAAGAGAAUUGGUGGUGGUUAGGGUGUUCUAGUGCUUAUCUAAUCUUCUUUCAAGCCUUUCGAGAUAGAGUUCUUUAGCUGACAAGUUUAGCAAAUGCUGUAGUGCUUAUGUUUUAGUUUUACACCUGCGUAAAAAUGAAUGGCUGCUACUGUUUCUAAUUUUAGGUUGGAAUGAGAUGCAAGUUUGCAUGCUUGUGCUUCUGUCACUACAAUCUAUACUACUGCUAUUGUCAUAUCCUGGUUGUCUUGUUGCUACCAAUAUUUUUCCCAUGUUUUGUUUCCUUGCAUGCUUACUACUACAAUCUAUACUACUACCAUUGUGCAAGAUGUUCACAUGUUAAUUUUGGUUGACUAAAAUCUCUUAUGCCGUUGACUUAGCUUGACCCAGAACAGCAGCAUCCUUGAUGCGUACUAACCUUCACCUCGUUCUUUCUCUCGCAGACUCGAAGGUGGCCUUAUGCAAGGCACCAAGGUACAUGGUGCUCGCAAGCGAUGAAUGGAGGCUGUUUGACAUCGGCUACGCAAACCACCAUUAUGCGGGCCUUCGUUCAUGUUUUGUCGUGAGGUCCAGGAUGAACAAGUUGGGAUAAGCAUUGGAGCUAGUUAUACUGUGAUAGUUGUGUUACCUGAUGUGAACAUUUUUUUUAUUGUAAACUUGAUGUGAACCAUAUUUUUCUGUAAUAAUGUGUU